GACGAACGCUGGCGGCGUGCUUAACACAUGCAAGUCGAACGGAAAGGCCCCUUUGGGGGUACUCGAGUGGCGAACGGGUGAGUAACACGUGAGUAACCUGCCCUUGACUUCGGGAUAACUUCAGGAAACUGGGGCUAAUACCGGAUAGGAAUCCUUGCUGCAUGGUGGGGGUUGGAAAGCUUCGGCGGUUUUGGAUGGACUCGCGGCUUAUCAGCUUGUUGGUGGGGUAGUGGUUUACCAAGGCUUUGACGGGUAGCCGGCCUGAGAGGGCGACCGGCCACAUUGGGACUGAGAUACGGCCCAGACUCCUACGGGAGGCAGCAGUGGGGAAUAUUGCACAAUGGGCGGAAGCCUGAUGCAGCAACGCCGCGUGCGGGAUGACGGCCUUCGGGUUGUAAACCGCUUUCAGCAGGGGCGAAGCUUGUGGUGACGGUACCUGAAGAAGAAGCACCGGCUAACUACGUG
rnacentral:rRNA from 1 species